rnacentral:rRNA from 1 species
GACGAACGCUGGCGGCGUGCUUAACACAUGCAAGUCGAGCGGAAAGGCCCUUCGGGGUACUCGAGCGGCGAACGGGUGAGUAACACGUGAGUAACUUGCCCCAGACUUUGGGAUAACCCUCGGAAACGGGGGCUAAUACCGGAUACGCCACUGCUUCGCUUGGGGUCUGUGUGGAAAGUUUUUCGGCUUGGGUUGGGCGCGAGGGCUAUGAGCUUGUUAGUCGUGGGAUGGUCUACGAAGUCGCAGCGGGGUAGCCCGCCUGUGAGGUCGACCGGUCACACGGGUACUGAGGGACGGACCAGAAGCCAAUGGGAGGCAACGGGCGAGAGUAUUGCAGAAUGGGGGGAAGCCAGAUACAACGACGCCCCGUGAGGGAUGCUGUGCUUCGGGUUGUAAACCUCUUUGAGCAGGGACGAAGCGUAAGUGACGGUACCUGCAGAGAAAGCCCCGGCUAACUACGUG